rnacentral:rRNA from 1 species
AACGAACGCUGGCGGCAGGCUUAACACAUGCAAGUCGAGCGCAUCCUUUGGGGUGAGCGGCAGACGGGUGAGUAACGCGUGGGAACGUACCCUUUCCUACGGAAUAGCUCCGGGAAACUGGAAUUAAUACCGUAUACGCCCUUAGGGGGAAAGAUUUAUCGGGGAAGGAUCGGCCCGCGUUGGAUUAGCUAGUUGGUGGGGUAAAGGCCUACCAAGGCGACGAUCCAUAGCUGGUCUGAGAGGAUGAUCAGCCACAUUGGGACUGAGACACGGCCCAAACUCCUACGGGAGGCAGCAGUGGGGAAUAUUGGACAAUGGGCGCAAGCCUGAUCCAGCCAUGCCGCGUGAGUGAUGAAGGCCUUAGGGUUGUAAAGCUCUUUCAGUAGGGAAGAUAAUGACGGUACCUACAGAAGAAGCCCCGGCUAACUUCGUGCCAGCAGCCGCAGUAA